CAGCGCCACGGGAAUACGAAGGGUGCAAGCGUUACUCGGAACUACUGGGCGUAAAGCGUGCGUAGGUGGUGGUUUAAGUCCGUUGUGAAAGCCCUGGGCUCAACCUGGGAAUUGCAGUGGAUACUGGAUCACUAGAGUGUGGUAGAGGAUAGUGGAAUUUCCGGUGUAGCAGUGAAAUGCGUAGAGAUCGGAAGGAACAUCUGUGGCGAAGGCGACUAUCUGGGCCAACACUGACACUGAGGCACGAAAGCGUGGGGAGCAAACAGGAUUAGAUACCCCGGUAGUCCCUGUCUCUUAUACC
rnacentral:rRNA from 1 species